rnacentral:lncRNA from 1 species
AGUCUAGCACAUGCCUGCUGACCUUCGUGGAGCCUGACCAGUGGGGGAAGUGUGAAGGAGACAGACAGGAUUCAGGCUUCUUGGGGCAGGUGUUUCUUCCAUGAGAGAUACGUGGGGAUGAAUUGCUGGGGAAUCCUUUCCAGUUUCCAGGAUACCUCUUCUUAUAUAUGGGGCUGUGGGCAUCAGAAAAAAACGUACAGGCCCUCUGCAGCCACCCAUGGAAACAGAAGAGAUUGCAUGCAGAGAUAGAGACACCAAGCUUUCGCCCUGUUCCUGGUGCAAACUGUCCAACAGCAUCCACUGAGCUGUGCUCUUCACAGGGGAUGCUCUCCCACAUCCUGCAGUGAGGCCUCCCCUUCUCUCCUGGCCAGCCUUCCUGACUUGUUUGCAUCCCUCUGAGAACAUCCCUGCAGCAGUUACCAGAUGGAUAAGCCUCCCUUUCUGGAUCUCGCCUAGUGUUCUUGCCUGUUAACUGUGGGACCCCACAUCAAGGGAGUCUUUCAAAAAUUAUACCCUUAUUUCAAAACAAAGUUUCAUCUCCAAUUCUUGACAGAUGGUUUGAUGGUUUGAAAGAAAUCGACCCCCUCCCCCCCCAGAGGCUUUCACGUAUUUGGAUGUUUGGUCCCCAGUUGACAGAAUUGCUUGCAAUAGCCUUUUAGGUUCUAAAAGCCCAUGUUAUUGCCAGCUAACUAACUCUCUCUCUCUCUCUCUCCCCUCCCCAUCAUGAUGAUCAUGGACGCUAACAUUCUGAACUGUGAGCCCAGAUUAAAAGUUUUGUUUAUAA